GACGAACGCUGGCGGCAUGCUUUACACAUGCAAGUCGAGCGGAAAGGCCCUAUCCCUUGUGGUGUGGGUACUCGAGCGGCGAACGGGUGAGUAACACGUGAGUGAUCUGCCCUGGACUUUGGGAUAGCCCACCGAAAGGUGGAUUAAUACCGGAUAGGACCUGCUCCUGCAUGGGGGUGGGUGGAAAGCCUUGUGCGGUCUGGGAUGUGCUCGCGGCCUAUCAGCUGGACGGUGGGGUAAUGGCCUACCGUGGCUUUGACGGGUAGCCGGCCUGGGAGGGUGACCGGCCACACUGGGACUGAGACACGGCCCAGACUCCUACGGGAGGCAGCAGUGGGGAAUAUUGGACAAUGGGCGGAAGCCUGAUCCAGCAACGCCGCGUGAGGGAUGACGGCCUUCGGGUUGUAAACCUCUUUCAGCAUUGACGAAGCCGUAUCUUUUGUGGGUGUGGUGACGGUAGGUGCAGAAGAAGGACCGGCCAACUACGUGCCAGCAGCCGCCGUAAUAC
rnacentral:rRNA from 1 species